CUUUAUGUAUGCUCGGCAACAAAUUGUUUUUAUCGAAAUCGACAUCAAUUUAGCAACGAAAUGUCCAUAGUGUAGCGUAAUAUUAAGUUGUUAAAUAGCUUCUUAGGAUAAAGUUUAAUUAUAGUUAAAUAUAAGCUUCCGCUAGUGUCUUACAAAGAUGGGUAUUUUGGAGAAGAUAUCUGAGAUUGAGAAGGAAAUAGCAAGAACCCAGAAGAAUAAAGCCACGGAAUACCACUUGGGUCUGCUGAAGGCGAAGCUCGCGAAGUACCGGUCGCAGCUGCUCGAGCCUUCCAAGAAGGGCGGCGACAAGGGCGAGGGCUUCGAUGUGCUCAAGUCGGGCGACGCGAGGGUGGCGCUCAUUGGCUUCCCUUCUGUAGGCAAGUCCACAUUGCUGUCAACACUGACCCACACACACUCAGAAGCCGCCAGCUACGAGUUCACAACACUGACAUGCAUCCCUGGUGUGAUCGAGUACCGCGGGGCCAACAUACAGCUCCUCGAUCUGCCGGGUAUCAUUGAGGGUGCUGCCCAGGGCAAGGGUAGAGGAAGACAGGUGAUAGCGGUGGCUCGCACAGCCGACCUGGUGCUCAUGAUGUUGGAUGCCACGAAGCCCUACGUGCACCGCCAGCUGCUCGAGAAGGAACUCGAGAGUGUCGGCAUCAGGCUCAAUAAGAGCAAACCUAAUAUUUACUUUAAGCAAAAGAAAGGCGGCGGUCUCUCCUUCAACUCGACGUGUCAGCUCACUAAAGUGGACGAGAAAAUGGUGCAAAUGAUCCUACACGAAUACAAGAUAUUCAAUGCCGAGGUACUAUUCCGAGAAGACUGCACGGCGGACGACCUGAUUGAUGUGAUCCUGGCCAACAGGGUGUACCUUCCCUGCAUCUACGUGUACAACAAGAUCGAUCAGAUCUCCAUACAGGAGGUGGACAGGAUCGCUCGGGAACCUAACUCUGUUGUCGUCAGUUGCAACAUGAAGCUGAACCUGGACUACCUCCUGGAGACGCUUUGGGAGUACCUGGCGCUCAUCCGCGUCUACACUAAGAAGCCCGGCCAGCCGCCAGACUUUGAUGAUGGACUGAUCCUUAGGAAGGGCGUAACCAUCGAGCACGUAUGCCACUCGAUCCACCGCACGCUGGCCGCGCAGCUGAAGUACGCGCUGGUGUGGGGCACCAGCACCAAGUACUCGCCGCAGCGCGUCGGCAUCGCGCACACCGUCAACGACGAGGACGUCGUGCAGCUCAUUAAGAAGUAGGCUCGAGGGUAGGCGUCAGGAUGGCACCAUCGAGGACGGGGGGAUAGAGAAAAAAAAUUGUAAUAAGUUUAUGGGCACAUCUAAAUAAACGAGCCUGUUUUCGGACCCUCUGAUGUUGACGUAUGGUAUGUAUCUACAUUACUAUGAGUUUCUUAAAAGCUAUCAGUAGACUAUUACUUUAAUUUGUGGGUUGCCAACCGGAUUGAUCAGAUCAUUCCAUCCUAAAUAGAUCAUUCAUCAAAUAGUGUUUGACAUUACAGAUAAAAACGUCAUUGUGAUAUUUAAUAUAUAAUCACGCGCCAUAUCGCGGAAUUUCAAUGGAACUAUUUUUUUUAUACUAAACUGAACUGUCACCAUAUACAUGAGAAUAACAGCGCCCUCUUGACAAUGAUCAUAUAUUUCUGGUCGGGCUUUAUAUGAUGGGCAAUUUUUUUAUUUGUUUUCGUUUUUUUUCGUCGGAAUGUGAUAAAAUUUGCUAAGUUUGAGGAUCUCCUCAUUCUGGGAAGAAUAAAUGACGAAACUCAAAUUCGGGACGAAACAAAUUUCGUAAUUUUCUUUUGAGUUACGAAAAUAUCAUACGUUUUCGUCGGGUGUAUAUCAUAGUUUCGGACACGUACUCUCGGAGUAUCCUGCUGUCGAAUGUUCGUUGAUUCGACUGUCGCUGGAUCGAAUGUUCGCUGGGUCGAAAAGCGUAGAAAUAAUCAAUUGUAGAAUCGAAUUUGAGGUUUCGAUUGUCAUCCCAUAGAAGAUCUCGGGUACGAAUGUUCGUUGAUUCGACUGUGAACAUUCGAUCCAGCAACAUUCGAAUCAACGAACAUUCGACAGCAGGAUACUCCGAGAGUACGUGUCCGAAACUAUGAUAUACACUCGUUUUCGUCAUUCGGAGGAUGAUUUUUCGGGACAUAGGGUGAAAUGCGCUUAAGAGUCCCCGUCAACUUCGGCCGAAUUUCACCUUCCCAUACAAACGGAGAUUCGUUCUCAUUUUAAAACUACGUGUUGGAUUGUAAUGAAUCUGUGCGCAUACAAUAACAUGGGGUAUGUAUAUGCCUGUAAUUAGUUUAUAUAGCUCCAGCUUAUAAAACAACCUGAAUAAAGCUAAAACCUUUGUAAAUAAUAUAGGUUUUAAGUUAAUUUUACUAACCAUAUAUAGACUUAUGGGUCUGAAAUAAAGAUAUAUUUCAUUUAAUUUUAAUUUUAAAACAAGUUGGUAUGUAAACUUAACAUCGCUGUUUUUUUUAACUAUGGUAUCUGAAGCAACAUAAACUAAUUACAGGCACAUAGCUUAUCCUAUUGUAAGUACAAAGUUUCAGAGCAAUCUAGCUAGUCGUUUUUAAAUGAGAGCGUAACUACGUUUGUAUGGAGAACCGAGCUUGCUGCGGACUCAUGCCAAAUUUUCUUAAAACCUUACGACGAAGGAAUAUCAAAAAUAAAUAAAAAGUACUCAGGAGUAGGUAUUAGGAUAUCAGGAUAUCCGGUUUUAAGUCGGAUAUUAAUGAUAUUCCUUAUCCAUUUUUAUAUAUAUAUAUUGCUGAUAGCAAUAAAAAAACUGAUACUACUGUAUAUCCCCAGUAAAUACAGAAUAUGUUUUAUACAUUUCUGUAUAUACCAGUAGUGGGCAAACUUUCUUCAUGGCGGGCCAGAAAGCUUAAGAAAUAUCAGAGGAGUGCCAGAAUUGCAGCCAAACUUCGCUUUUUAUAAUUUCGCGGUCUAUAUACAAAUUAUUUCGAAGGGCCGGUGGCGGGCCGGAUGCCUGGAUUAAUUGCAAUUAACUAUUAACUGUUUCAAAUUGAACCAUAAACCUUCACGGACCGGUUCAAUUUGUAUAGUCGUUCGAUUUAUAGCUGGCCUGAUCGGCUAAUCCUUUGUCUGUUGUUAAGUAAAACCGCACGUACUACUACUGCAUAAAAAAUGGUCCAGUCAAUUUUAACCGGUUAUUAAAUUACAAUUCCUAUGGAAAUUAAUGGAAAAAUAAUUUGCGAUUCCUUGUGUGAUCCCUCUACGGUUACUGAGUGCCGGAGAGUCGAACUCUACAGAACCAGUCUAAAAUGUGUCCUUGAGAUGCGUAACAAAGGCGGGUUAUCGGAGAGCGCACAUACACUGGUUUUUGAGCGUUGGACUAGUCCGCGCUCAGGUGCCAAUUAGAAUUAUACGGCCCUUUUUUGCAGGUAGGUAGUGGCACGUGCGGGUUAACUUAACAAUAGACAAAGGAUUAGCCGUUCGGGCCAGCUACAAAUCGAACGAGUAUAAAAGUUAACGGUCAAAUGCAUUAACGUUUCGGCCAACAGUGCCAGAUACAAUCUUUCCGCGGGUCGGAGCGGGCCCGCGGGCCGUAUUUGAACACCACUGGUAUAUACUAUGGGACGCCUUUAGGUAUAAAGUGUAGUCAGAAUGUGUUAUUUGGUUAAUUGAAAUUGUAUAACUGAAUUGGACGCAAUAUAAUUAUGCCUUUGACGACUUUUACAGCAAUAAUGCUAUUAUUUUUGUAUAAAUAAUUAAAUUAGUCAACCCUAUGCGACUUUUUCGUUUUUCGUUAUAAAACUUUAAGCAAUGUAACUUGGCGUCUUUUAUUUAUAAAAAUUUGGCAUCUGAAAUGCUAUCUUCUAAUGAUCAUUUUAUUUUAAUAGUUAACAGCCUUACCCUUCUAAUAUUGAAACAAUUAAUGUUAAAAUGGAAUGUAUUGGAAGAUAUUGGUGAAACAUCAAAGUCGGAGUUACCUCAAUUCGAUAUUUUCAAUCUUUUUUAUAUAUAAAAAUGUCAUAUAGGUAUAUAUGAAAUAUUUUAUCACCCGAGCAAGCGAAAGAUCCCAAAAUUGAACCACGAGCUUAACGAGUGGUUCGAAAAGUGUAAUCUUGUGCCUUGCGAGGGUUAUACAAUCUUUGCUGCCGAGUGAAAGGCAUUUUUCACCACACGGUCGUAAAGGCCCUUAUAUUCUAAAAGUCGUCUUAUAAAAAUUUGGAUUUAAAAGACUCGACUGUUUAUAAUCAACGCUACCUAUAAAUUGUGUCAAACACUCGCUGCACGCGAACACGUUGUGAAAUAAAAAUGAUGUAUUUUUAAGACGAAAGUAGAGGAUCCGCGCGAAAUCGCCUUUUCACCUCAGCAGCUCGAACAAGCCUACUUUCCUCACUCCAGGGAGUGAGACAAAGUAGAUUUUUAAUUUAGUGAAGGCCAUGAGAUUAAAAACUUUACUUGAUGUUAAAUUAUUUAACCUUUUAUAUGUUCUCACUACUGAGGUAAAAAGAUGUAUGUGUCACACGAGAGCAAAGUUAUUUUAUAUCUCGUGUUUUUGAGUCCCUCGCUAGGGUCAAGAUUCUGACUUAGAAUAUUUCGCUUACUCGGGACUCAAAAUCAACACUCGCAAGAAAAACUAACUUUCUUGUUGCACAAAUAACUAUUUCAAACAAACUUACUUAGUUUUCUUUCCUCUCAGGAUAUUCACAUUAUUGAAAAUAUUUUGACACAAUUUGUUGUAUAGCAACCAUAGCUAUGUCCCUGCCUUUGAUAUUUUCGAAUUUCUAAUUAUUAUGAUAGUUAGAAGCAUUUAUAAAUUUGCAUGAAAUCUGUUUUUCGCUCCUAAUUUUUACAAUAAUCUAAAAAUCUAAAAAGUCAAACGUAAGGGAAAGCUAUGGUUAAUAUACAUCAAUUUAUGUAAAAAUAUUUCCCAUAAUGUCAAAAUUCAGAGAGGAAAAUAGGGACUACGUUUGUACGGAGAAGCGGCCGUCGCCUUUCGUUUUAAGCACAAGAACAAAAUAUAAAAUGAUACAAAACAGAAAAAGGAGACAGUGUUACGAAAUGGCCAUAUCUCAGCAUGUUGGUGGCGACUUCCAGCGCUGAUCUUCCGAUAUGUGCUCUCUGUCACACCUACCGGCGGGCGGCAUCCUGUCUCUUUUUAAUUGUUCCCGACUCGCGACCUUCGCGUGAAGAGAGUGUUUACACAAAUAUAACUUUAAGUUUAUUAUAACUCACGUUAUAUCCAACGCAAGCAAUAAAUAAUCACUGUUCAAGAGUUAUCAUUGUUGUAUAUACUCAAUUAUAAUUUUGCAAUGGAAUAAAUAGUUUUUUAAAAGUG